GUAGGUGAACCUGCGGAAGGAUCAUUAUUGUUGGCGCCUCCGGGCCCGUUAACACAAUAACCCUUGUCUUUUUAUGUGCACCCUUUGUUUCCUCGGCAGCUUUGCCUGCCAACGAGGACCCCCCAAAAACCUUUUGCAAUCCUAGUAUAACAUUCUGAAAACAAAACAAUAUUAAAACUUUCAACAAUGGAUCUCUUGGCUCUG
rnacentral:misc_RNA from 1 species